GCCAAAUAGAACAACAACAACUUGUGGAAUGGCACCCAACGCUUUCAAAGCACUUUGUUUGGUUAUUCAUUUCCUAAUCAACGAAAGUCAUGGGUCUAGCCAACAGGUCCCUGCUUCUUGUAUAACAAAAUUGAGAAGAAAAAGGGGUGAGGUCUAAAAAGAAAUGGCAGGUUCUCCCGGAAUUGCAAAUUUUCCAUACCAUGUAUUUCGCAAGACUGAUUCUAAACUUCAAGUAUAUGUAUUCUUGC